CAUCAAUGAGGCAGUUGUAGGCUUGAAUAUCAAGUUCACAUUUGAGUAUUCCCAAAGUACGAAAUAGUUCAACUGCCUCUACAAUAUAACCAUUCUUGCAAAGCCCGUCAAUAAAGGUGUUAUAUGUAGAGGUAUCAGCUGCCACGCCAUCGCGCUGCAUCUCUUCAAACAGUUUCAAAGCAUGCUCAACCUGGUGUAUCUCAAAAAGGCCAAGAAACAAAGUGUUAUAUGUAACAACCGUUGGCUUUAUUCCUUUAGAAACCAUUUCGCGAUAAAGACUUAACGCUUCCUCCACUUCCUUAUUCUUGCAGUACCCAUUUAUCAAAAUAUUGUAACUAACAUCAUCAUGUUUGCAACCCAUACUCUCCAUAGAACCAAAUAGUUCCUCCGCACGAUUAAUUUUACCCGUCAAGCAAAACCCAUCCAUUAAUGUGCUAUAGGUAAAAGCAUUUGGACGCACAUCACGCUGAACCAUCAGGUCCAACAACCUACUUGCUUCAUCCAUCUUUCCAUUUUUACAAAGCUCGUCCAUGAUCACAUUGAAGGUCACAACACUAGGCUGUACCCCUUGAUCCAUCAUCUCAAAAAACAAACGCUUUGCCUCAUUCCAAUCAUUAGCAUGACAUAAACCGUGAAUCAAAGAGUUAUAGGUAACCACAUCGGGGUUAAUGUUCUCAUCCUUCAUCUGCAGAAACAGUGCCUUGGCCUUGUCCACGAAACCUUCCUUACAAAGACCAUCGAUGAUAGUGUUGUAUGUAACAGUAUUUGGCUUACAAACGACACCAAUUUCCCCAUUUCCAUUAGCCAUCUCUUCAAAUAAAUUUAAAGCAACGAUUGUAUGGCCAGUUCGACACAAUCCAUUAAUUAAAGUACUGUACGUAAUGACAUUAGGCUCACAACCAAACGCUUUGAGUUUCGUAAACAAUGCGGCGGCCUCCAUGAUUCUACUCUCCGCACACAAACCUUUAAUCAAAGAAGUAAAGGUCACAGCAUCUGGAGUAAAACAAGACCUGAGGAUCCUCCCAAAAAUUACAAAACCAAGAGACACUUGACCCAUUUUGCAAAAGCAGUUAAUCAAGAUACUGUAAGUACAAAGAUUUGGAAACAACCCAGUUGAAUUGAGUCUCUUGAAGAGUAAAAGGACAGUAUCAUAAUGUUUAGUCUUAGCAAGACAACCAAACAAAAUAUUGAAGGAAGUCACAGGAGGCGGAGAAGGGUGCAUAUGGAGCAUGUAAUCAAAGAUACACAAGGCUUCAUUAGGAGUAAUAAGAUUAAUGUCACCUUGACCUGAUGGUUUGCACCUUUUUCUGAGGAAUGUUUCGAGUGAGGCUCGGUCUUUGACUGUCAGUCGUAGCGACUCCUUCAGUUUAGCUGUUGUAGUCAGAUACGAGGGUUCAUUUUUUGAAAAUGAAGUUGUGGGUUUUCUGGUAUGAGGGAAUGAAGAUGAGAAAUUACAUCUAAGAGCUGAUAUUGAAAUUGAAGUAAAAUAAAAUGAACGAUUUGAGGAUGCGAAAGCCAUCGGAGAGCUUCCGAUUAUUUGGGGUUGAAGAAGAAGAAAGUAAUUGCCAAAAUAGAUGACAAACUAUGAUGUAUCUCACUCAAAUAAUAAUUAAUUAUUAAAUUUUAUCGUUUCCAUUUCAAAAUGGUGAAAUUUAUUCAGUUGGCAUACAAACUAUAAAUAAAGGUGCCAAUUUUCUUACAUUAUCUGCAUUCUCAAACAUAUUAAAUUCCUAUAAUUAUUAAAUAAGUGAGGUUCCAUCACUCAAUUAAAAAUAAUUUAAUAAGUAAUAUUUAAAAUUUUGUAUGUAAUUAAGUGUUAAAAAACUGAUUUAUCAUUAUAAAAAUGAUCAUCAUUGUCAUUUGUGUUUGUUUCUAUUUUGUUGCUUUGUGAGAGUAGUCUAAUAUUUUUAGUGGGCAACUAAUACAGAUUACAAACUUAAAUUAGAAAAUCGAACAAAUUAUAAUUUUGCAAUACUUUUUAACAUAAAAUAAAUUUAGGGUGGAUGGCUAAUAAUUUCCUCCAUUGUAAAAAAAAAGAAGGAGAAUUCUUAAUUUCAUAUAGGAUCCACUCUCUAUAAAAUUAAUAAUUGGUAUCGAUUUAGAUCUCAUUUCUACUUUUUUUUUUAUUAUGUAGAAAGAUGAUUUUGUACCACCCCAAAUUUAAUUGGGCCUCAUGGAUAUUUUCUUUUUUAAAAUUAAAGACUUAUGAAUUGGGCUCUGUAAGCAAUUAAAUUUAAUUACUUUAAGUGGUGAAGUGAAAUAGUUAUGCCUUGUGCGUGCCGUCGGGGAUAGCUUCGGUGUUAUAUGCUAAAAUGUUUUGUUUAGCUUAUGUUUUUUGUUUUACUUUUUAUUUCUUAAUGUUUACGAACCUAUAUUUACUUAUUUAUUUAUUUGUUUUUAAAUUGUUAUCGAAUAAGAUAUAAUAUUGUGUUAAUUUAGCUAUAUCUAAAUUUUACAUUUUUUUUACUACUCACUACCAUUGCUAUAUUCAUGAGUUUUAUUUUUUUAAUUCAAUAUAUAUUAUUUCUCCCGAUUUCACGAAUUUUUCCGGAUUUACAGACUUAAAUCCUUUUCCAAUUCAUCUAAUACGCAAUUUUACAUUUUCACUCCAAUCCGAUCAUACUAUUCCACGGACCAUUUUUUCACUGAUCGAAUUUUUGCGGAUGGGCUACUUUGACCACCUCUAAUUGGAUUCUAAACACCCCUGGCUGUUGGUUUACAAGUGGGAAUCUAAGGUUAUUUCAAGCUACAAGACCCAAUUUCAACGGACUUACCUAAACGAUUGCUUUUAUACAACACAAUUUUUCCCCUAUUAUGAAACUAUUGUUUUUUAUUUUGCACUUGUUAAUGAAUAACAUGCCAUAUAAUUUCAUUAAUUUUUUUAUUAUUACAUUUUAAUUGGGCCUUAUUCUCUAAUACACUCAAUAUGUUAUAUUUUCUAUUAUUUGCAACAAUCAAUACGGAUUGUCACCGACACUUGUUACUAUCCACUGUCGAUGAUAUUUUUCUUUGUAUUUUUUCAUCUUUUAACUUAUCAUUCAUCUCAAUAAAGCCUCCAUUUCUUGGUUGAUGAUUAGCUAUUUUUUAAUUUUUAUUAUUACACAAUUUAUCAUUGGCACCAUCAUCAUUAUUGUCAUAUUUAUAAUAAUAAUAAUAAUAAUAAUAAUAAUAAUAAUAAUAAUAAUAAUAAUAAUAAUAGGGACCGGGAUCGUGGAAAGUGAUUUUUAAUGAAAGGAAUCAACAACACAGAUGCUUUACCAAAUAUUACACCUACUUUCCCUUGGCUCUGAUACCACGAUCUCGGUCCUUAUUGGUAUCAGAGCCAAGGGAAAGUAGGUGUAAUAUUUGGUAAAGCAUCUGUGUUGUUGAUUUUUUUCAUUAAAAAUCAGUGUGUUUGCUGAAUUUUUUACUGGUAGUAAGUCCCGUCUUAGGAUAAGAAUUUCCGCAUAGGGCAGUAAAACCAUACCUGUAGGCAUUCAUAUAGGUUUUAAUUUAAGUUUUAAAUUGCAUGGAUUCUCUACUGCAUAGAACAUCAUCUUUCUCUAGCUCUUCUUCUGAGAAGACUAGUGUUUCAAAGAACGUGGUGAAUUCAGAAGAAUUCAUUAUUGAAGAUUUUAAUAAAGCAAUUGAUAAUUGGGAUUUACCAAAGGUUUCUAAAGAUAAGAUUUAUAAAAUGAAAAAACUUGAUUUUCUAAAGACAGAUUGUGUAAUAAAGACAGAAGAAAGAGAUAUCACACUUUCAAAACCUUUUGAAACAAUUCACUUGUUCUCUAAAAAUUCUGUAAAGAAAUUAAAAGAAAAGAAUUUCAAUUAUAUUUAUAUCGGAUUAAUCCAAGUAGGCAUAAAACCCUUAACUAAAGAAUGAUUAAAUACUUCCAUUCUUGCUGUCCUCAGAGAUUGGAGGUUCAUCUCCUUUGAUGAUUCCUUACUCAGUAGUAUUGAAUCUAGUCUCUGUAAAGGACCCAUUUCUUUUUAUUGUUAUCCCAACAUAACUAUUUCUUUAAAAGACAAGAAUAUUUUGAAAAGCAUGAUUUUACAUAUCAAAACGCAUAAUUAUCACAUGUUAGAAGGAUCUGUUCCAGUUGCAUUAAUUUUCAAAAUAUCUUACAAAGCAAUGGUUUCAGCAUUUAAUACGCAGCAUAAAUUCCAGUAAAAAAGAGAUGAGACUCUUCUCUUGCAGACUGACAUGUCUAAAGCCAACACCGUUAUUCCAAAACCAAUCCAAUGGAAAGAUAUCACUCUUCCAGACGAAUGGAUUCUUGAAGGAGCCACUCAACCAGUAAUUCCGAAACAACUUGAGCCAAAUACAGAGUUACAAAAUGUGACUCAGUAUUCAGAUGGUAAAGUCAAACUAUCUUUUAAGAGAUCUACAUCCUCUAGAUUCUCCGAUAAAGAUUCAAGUUCCAGUAUUCCUCAUUUACAAAAGAAAUUUUCAAAAAUUCCCUCUGUUAUAAAUCUCCCUUUUCAACCUAUAAAUAGUCAACCUAGGUUUUCCACCUCGAACAUACCUAGCUCCUCCAUACAUGUUGUUGACUAUGCAACUAGUGUUCCCCAUCCUAUCUACACUGGUCGCCAAAGCCAGAAAGAGAAAGAACCUUCUCUUCAAACUUCUCCUACAUUUUCUGCUGUUACUGAAAAUGUAAUAAAUGUUCUUGAAAAAGAUUUUGAAUUGGAUAAAACUCUUUUACACAAUGAUUUUUAUUCCGAAGUUAAUAAAGAAAAAAGUCUUUGGUUUUUUAAACAUUUCUUAAACCAAAGAAAAGAAAUCUAACAAAUUUAUUAUGAAUUUGUAAAUCUGCAUAAAGUUCACAUAUUGUUUUUUGAUUGGUUUGAUAUUUAUGUCUCGGAAAAUAACAUUUCCUAUCCUUUUAAAGAAUCAAAUCCCAUUACUGUCAGAAAGAAAACUGCUGAAUGGAACCUUUCUGGUAGUGGAAGAAUCAUAGAGUCUGAACAUCCACCUCUUAGGAGCCUGACCAUUGAGCAUGGUGAACCUCCUAUUGAGAUAAAAGUCUCACCCUAUAAGGUCCAUAAAGAUCCAGAAACGGAUUUAGAUAGCAUUAUCCAACAGAACAAUUUCUGUAAUGCUAAUCUAAAUACGAUAGGAAAACAGUUGACCCGUAUAGAAAGUCAAUUUCAAAAGUCAACCGUUAUUGUCCCAUCGUCUACUCCCUCCAAGUCUGAUUCCUUGAAAAAGCUUAAAGAACCUAUUUUCAAACCUUUCCAGGUUUCGAAACAUAGCCAAAAGCUUGUUCAAAAAUCCAAAUCAGAUUUUGCACAAGCCAUCAAAGAACAACUUGAUAGAAUAGAAGCAUCUUCUUCUUUCACUUCUACUUCUAAAGUCCAAAUUGCUCAUGAUAGUGCUCAAUCUAGCAAAAUUGGCGUACUAGAACAGGAUCAAUCUUCUAUAGCCUCUGCUGACAUAGAAGCUUUCAAAGAUGAGUCUAUCCCUAAAGCCAAUAAAAUCCAUUGGGAACUUGCUCUCCCAACUGUAAGAACUCCUCCAGACCUUGCCAUCGAUAAUAGACCAAGUGCAUUAAACCAAUCUCGUUUUAAUGCAUCCUCUGUCUAUGAAUGAAAUAUUGAUGGUAUGUCUGAAUACAAUAUCCUAGGAUUGUUGCAGCAAAUGACCAUGCCAGCCAAUGCCUAUAAAACUCAACAAGGAACUUCUGACAAAGCCAUUGCAGAAAUUCUCAUUGCUGGUUUUACCGGUCAACUAAAAGGUUGGUGGGACCAUCUUCUCACUAAUCAGCAACAACUAGACAUCCUAAAUUCUAUUCAAGUAGACGAAAAUGGAGCCCCCAUUCUCAAUGAAUUCAAUAGUCCUAUUCAGGAUGCUGUUGCUACCCUGAUUUUGACUAUUUCUCUUUAUUUCAUAGGUGACCCUUCUCACCUAAAAGAUAAAAAUGCUGAGUUACUACAUAACUUUAGAUGUAGGAAACUUAGUGAAUUCCAGAGUUACAAAACCACUUUCUUUACCAGACUCUUCCUUAGGUAUGAUGCAAAUCAUACAACCUGGAAGGAAAAUUUCCUUGCAGGCUAGCCUACCCUAUUGGGAGAAAAUGUUAGAAAUUCCAUCAAAGCCCUUUAUGAUAAUCGCAUUCCUUAUGACGAGCUCACCUAUGGUGAACUAGUCAGUUUUGUCAAUAAAGAAGGUUUAAAGAUCUGUCAAUAUUUGAAAUUACAGAAACGGCUAAAAUAGGAGCUUAGAAAGUCUAAGCAAGAAUUAUGCAGUUUAUGUAAACAAUUCAACUAUGACUCCUUUAAAACUUCUACUUCAAAAGAUUGUAAUGGUAAAUGUUCUUCUAAACCUUACAAAAAACAUUACAAGUCUAGAAGUCAUAAAUACCAACAACCUUCAAGAAAUUUUAGAGAACCUUUUUAUAAGAAGUCCUCGAGACCCUAUAAAAAACCUCAUUUCUCUAAAAGAAAAGACUCCAAAGCCAAAACAUCUUCCUCUUUUAAACCAAAAACCUCUUUUAAUUAUAAAGAAGCUACAUGUUUUAAAUGUGGCAAGAAAGGACAUACUGUAAAAUAUUGCAGGAUAAACAGAAGACUUUAAGAAAUUGAUCUUGAUGAAGAAGUCCUUUCCAAAAUAGCUCCUCUGCUCGUUGAGUCUUCUGACUCUGAUUCAAAUUCUUCUCUGUCGGGAAAUAGUGAUCCUUUAUAGGUUGAUGAGUUGAUUGACUCAGAAACAUCUGUAUCAAGCAGUUCUGAUUCAGAAACUUUUUUAAAGAAGAUUAAUGUUUUGACUAAAGAACAAUAAACUUUUCUCGAACUUGUAAAGCAUAUUUCUGACCCCAUCCUCCAGAAGGAAUACCUUGACAAACUGCUAAAAACUCUAGAACCAAAAGACAAGCCAGAAACUUCUAAAGUCCCGAUUAUUAAAAAGAAUACUUAUGACCUUACGGAAAUUUUGGGAAAAAAGAAGACAGAAAAUGAUAACUCCCAAUAUCCAAGACCUUCAAAAGGAAAUUAAAGAAAUCAAAAAUGAAAUUAAAGAAUUAAAAGAGAAGCAGAAAAAUAACUCAGAAACAAUCCAGCUUUUAUUGCAAAAACAACUGGAAGACAAUUCUGAUAAAGAAUCAAACUCUGGUGAAGAAAAUGAACAACAACUUGAAAACAUUGAAUCUAUCCCCAAUGAUUUUCUUUUCAUUUUAAAACAAAUCACCACGAGAAAAUGCUUUAUCAAAAUCACUUUAAAAUUCUCUAAAGAUUUUGAAAUUGACACCAUUGCCCUUUUUGACACUGGUGCUGAUUUAAAUUGUAUAAAAGCAGACAUAGUUCCAAGGAAAUUUCAUGAAAAGACUAAUGAAAGGCUUUCAGCUGCAAAUAAUUCAAAAUUGAACAUCAAAUCCAAAGUUGAUGCCUCAAUUCACAACAAUAGUUUUGAAUUCAAGACUACCUUUCUAUUAACAAAUGAUAUUCAUCAUGCUGUUAUUUUGGGAACUCCGAACUCCUUUUAUAAAUCUUAUUACUCCCUAUACUGUCAAUUACGAUAGUAUAUCUUUUAAAGCAAAAAAGAACAAAUUAAUUUUCCCUUUUAUUGAAAAACCCAAAACCAGAAAUUUAAAUAUUGUUAAAGCCUGUUCUGUUUACCAGAACCAAAUAAAUGUUUUGCUUAAAACAAAACAAACCGAUUUAGCCUGUUUACAAAGACUUGAAAUCCAAUUGCAAAAUGGACAUAUACAAAGAAAAAUUUAUGAUCUCAAAACUCUAAUUGAAAAGGAAAUAUGUGCUGAUUUACCAAGUGCUUUUUGGAACCGAAAACAACAUUUGGUAGAUUUACCUUAUGAAAAUUCCUUUGAUGAAAAAUAAAUACCCACUAAAGCUCGUCCUAUCCAAAUGAACAUGGAUUUGGAAAGACAUUGUAAAAAUGAAAUCCAAGAUUUAGAGUCCAAAGGACUCAUUGUAAAAUCUAAAUCUCCGUGGUCUUGUGCCGCUUUCUACAUCAAUAAAAACUCUGAAAUAGAAAGAGGGACACCCAGACUUGUAAUAAAUUACAAGCCCUUGAAUAAAGCAUUAAAAUGGAUCAGGUAUCCCAUACCUAAUAAAAAAGAUUUGCUCCAAAAACUACACUCUGCAUUCAUAUUUUCAAAAUUUGACAUGAAAUCUGGUUUUUGGCAAAUGCAAAUUCAUCCUAAAGACCGUUAUAAAACCGCUUUCACUGUUCUAUUUGGACAGUACGAAUAGAUAGUAAUGCCUUUUGGUUUGAAAAAUGCACCUUCAGAAUUUCAAAGAAUUAUGAACAAUAUUUAUAAUCCUUUUUCUGAUUUUUGCAUUGUUUAUAUAGAUGAUGUGUUGAUCUUCUCUCAAUCAAUUGAACAACACUUCAAACAUUUAAAGACUUUUUAUCUGGCUACUAUGAAGGCUGGUCUAGCCAUCUCUAGUUCUAAAAUCUCUUUAUUCCAAACUAAAGUUUGGUUUCUUGGUCAUUACAUUUCCAAAGGAACCAUCACUCCCAUAAAAAGGUCACUUGCCUUCACUGACAAGUUUCCUAAUAAAAUCCUUGAUAAAACCCAAUUACAAAGAUUUUUGGGCAGUUUAAAUUAUGUUCUUGAUUUUUGUCCUAAUAUCAAUAGGAUUGCCAAACCAUUGCAUGAUAGAUUAAAGAAAACUCUUGUUGCAUGGUCAGAAGAACAUACAAAAAUUGUUAAACACAUAAAGAUCAUAGUUAAAAACAUUCCAUGUUUAUUUCUUGCAAAUCCUGCAUCGCCUAAAAUUGUUGAGACUGAUGCAUCAGACCAAGGUUAUGGUGAGAUAUUAAAGCAAGUUGAUCAUAAUAAAGAACAGAUAGUACAAUAUGUUUCCGCACAUUGGAAUGAAUGCCAGAAAAAUUAUUCUACUAUUAAAAAGGAAAUUUUAUCCAUUGUUUUAUGCAUUUCCAAAUUUCAAAGCGAUUUAUUAAAUCAAAAGUUCCUGUUUAGAAUUGAUUGCAAAGCUGCAAAACACGUUUUGGAAAAAAAUGUUCAAAACAUUACAUCUAAACAGAUUUUUGCACGUUGGCAAGCUAUUUUAAGUGUUUUUGAUUUUGAUAUUGAAUUUAUUAAAGGAGAUACAAAUUCUCUCCCUGACUUUCUAACUAGGGAAUUUCUCCAAAACAUAUAAUGCCGCCCAAAAGAAGAGAUAAAGGGAAAUGGAUCCUCACAGAACCCAUAUCCAAAACAACCCCUAAAGCCUCCCAAUCCUCUCCUCCUAAAGAAAAAUUACUUUCUUCAGCAAUGCCCAUAAAGUCUUGGAUUGACGCUAUUGAAGACCAAGAAGCCCAAUCCAAAGCCCUUGCUUCCCAGGAACAAGUAAAUGAAUGGAUGAAAUCCAUUUCUAAAUCCCCUGAGCUUAUGCUCGCCUUACAAAGUUUUUCUCAAAGUCAGAUUUCUCCUAAAGAAGAAAAACCUAUUUCAAAAGAAACUUCUAAAACUUCUUCAAAAAAUGUGGUUCUUUCUAGUGAAAGUUCAUCUUCUCAAAUUGUUCUUUCACAAACUAAGUUUCCAAAGAAAACUUCGGAUUGGUAUGAUAAAACAUAUUUCCAAAAUAUUUUAUCCAUAAAAGAUGGUUUUUACCACACUAAUCAUUUUCAAGCAAUUUCAAAAAUUUUCCCCAUCGAUUGGUUUUUCAAACCUUGGGAUUUGACAAAACCCCAAUCUUAUUACCAAAGCAUUUUGGAGUCUACUGAGUCUGUCAAAUUCAAACACUUCUUCCUCAGUGAAGCCCAUACAGAACCAGCUUACUCCACAGCCACCAUUUUAAAAAUUUUGAGCCCAAAACAGUGGGGAGACCAACUUCAUAAACUAAAGCCCUUCCCCGCAAAUUUCCAAAUGCGUUUACCUCAUUGCCUGUCAUAUUCCUAUUGGGAUUACCAACAGGCCUGGUUUAACACAUUUUUUAUAUAAAACCCUAAAAAGACUCAUUCAUGGUUAUUUUUCUUCAAUUCAAAAAUAACCGUCCAAAGUCUUCCAAACUGGUUCCAACAGUGGUGGAACUAUUUUGGGCCAAGCCCGGAUAUUCUUACUCCAAAUGCCAUCCACUGUUUAAAUCUCUUUAAAACUCAUUAUGUCCCUACAAAAUCCGAGAGACAGUUUCCUCUUUUCCUCUGUUUCUGUACAAAUUUCUUUCUUCCAUGGGUAUGGAUGUGGAAUCUUCGAUAUCACACCCAAGAAGCCCAACUCAUCCUACAAAGAACCUUUAAAAUCAAAUAGUGGUCAAAAUUUGAUGAACAGUCAAAAUUGACCGAAGCCAUUGUUCGUACAUGGCUCUCCUCAAGAGGCCUUCUUACCCCAAGCAUUAAAGACAUUAAAACCCAAGGAACCUUCCUUACCCAAAAAUCCAAAGCCCAAUCUCUUUUGGCCAGUGCCAAAACAGAAACAUAAUAUUUUAAAGUCAUGGAACAGCUUCUCACAUCAAGAUCAGAGCCAUCGGUUGCAAGUUCCGGAUCAAGCUCUUCUGGUGAAGUUGAGCCGUUCAUUUCCCUUGGGGAUGAAAAUGAAGAUGAUUGCUUCGGCAUUUUUCCCCCUGUAAAGCAUUCUUAAAGAAUUUGUAAAAUAAAAAAAAAAUACUAAUUUUCAAUUUUUCCUCUGUAUUUAUCACAUGUAUUCAAUUCCUGUAGAAUUCUAUGUAAUUUCUAUUGUAUUGCCCCUUUGUAAAAAUUACUUUAUACUUGUAUUAUUUUGGGUGGUCCCAUGGACACAAGUGAGAGCGCACAUGUCUCUUCACCCGAAAUUUCCUCUUCUUUAUUUUUAUGUAAUUUUAUGCAUUUCUCUUGUAAAGCCACUGUUUCAAGCUACAGUUUCGCUACAGUCAUGAAGCUACAAUUUCGCUACAGUUGUGAAGCUACAGACUCGCUACAGUUAAAGACCCACUCUUUGUAUUUAAAUCAGGAGGAAGACUUAGACUCCUCAGAUUUUUCAUUUUGGAGAAUUCCACUUCUCUCUUCCUUCUUCUCUCUUUCUCUGGGAAUCAGGAAUCGGAAGACAACAAGGAAUUUUUCUUGUCUUCAGAUUAAUUUCCCAUUUCUUCUGUAAUAUUUCUCUUUAAAGAAGAACAAAGCAAGAAAAAUCAAAUGUAAGAUUUGUAAUUUCUUUUAAAGUUUGUAAUAAAUUUAAAUUUCUGUAUGUUUAAAUUUCUGCAGUUUAAUUUCCGCAAUUUGAUUUAAAGCAUUUAAAUUUCAGUAAUUUAAAAUUUUAUGCAUGCUUUGCAGACUGAUCUAUAUCAGAUCUGCCAUAUAAAUUGUUACGUUCCUCAGAAGCAAAGAGAUCGGAUCUCUGUCUUCUGUUGUAUCUUCUCUUCUCCCUCCAACCAUUCAGAGUAUUAUUUCUGGGAUCCAGAUCUAAUACUGUCUAUGAGCCUUUAGAUCUGUUGCUAGGCUUGCUAAAGAAUAAUUUUUUUUUUAAAAAAGAAUUUUGGUAUAUAGGCUGGAAAAUAGAACGUGCGGAAUAUUGAUAUGUUCUAAGUCAGAUCUGGUUCCAAAGGUAGAUUAAGUUCUGCAUCGAUCUGGUCACAACGCCACGUACUAAUAAAAAUUGAUCUGUUCUAAGUCAGAUCUGGUUCCAAAGGCAGAUUAAGUUCUGAAUCGAUCUGGUCACAACGCCACGUACUAAUAAAAAUUUGCGUUUGAGAUCAUUAAAUUUAUAUUCUGCUUAAAACACAUCCGUCCUUUGUUCAUUAAAAUCUUUAAUAUUGUCAUCUCCUUGGACAUUCACACACUUUCCACUUUUGAUUUAAUAAAUCGCUUUGAAAUUUGGAAAUGCAUAAAACAAUGGAUAAAAUUUCCUUUUUAAUAGUAGAAUAAUUUUUCUGGCAUUCAUUUCAAUGUGCAGAAAUAUAUUGUACUAUCUGUUAUUAUUAUUAUUAUUAUUUCUUGAAUGACGUGGCCUACUAUUUCAACUACAUGCAUAAAAAUUAAAUUAACUCUUACUUCAAAUCUCAGGAUUAGGGAAUUUUCCCCUUUUUUCCCCCGCCAAUUACUUUUCCCCAAUUUUCCAUUUCCGCCAAACACCUCAACCCAGACUUGCACGCUUCCACCAAAUUGUUUUGAACCAUUACUUGCAUCCACUUGGCGUUUGUUUCAAUACAUGUCUUCGUAACUCACGUGGCAACCAUUGAAUGGCUACUUUUGUCAACUUCUUUUUCACCUCUAUGUUACCGGGCCCUUACCUUCUUCUCCGGUUAAAUGCAAUCCACUCUGUGUCACUUCUUCAACCGUGGGAUUAUAUCCAAUGGCUGAUUCACUAUAGGACAAGCGACUGGGGUACCAAACCCCUGACGUAAAUUAGCUAUGCCCUUCUUUUGAAGCUUCUCGAGUUUCAUAAUUUUUUGCUGUUACACCGAAACUCUGAAGUUUGAACUUUGAAAUUGAUAAUUUUAGUUACAUUUGAUGUAUUGAUCAAAACAAAUGAAAAUUUGUAUAUCCGUGUGUUAUAAUUGGAAAUUUUGAAUGUAUUAUCGUAGCUUAAUAUUAAUUAAUAUCUUGUUCAAUUUUGAUUUUAACUGGUAGUAAAGUUAAUUUUACAUUAGAAAAUUUAAUUUAAAAAAUAAAAUAUGAAUGAGAUAUUUGUUUAUAUAAUUACUGCGUAGAUUGGAUGAAAAAAAAAAUUGCAUCUACAAAUCAAUCCGGCAAACGAUGGAUUACAUAUGGAUUGGGUCUUAUUUGCAUCUGAUCCGUAAAAAUAUGAAUUGGAUUUCGAUUCAGUUUCAGUAAUCAGUGGAUUUAAAUACAUAAGAUGGUCUCUGUUUAAAGAAACAUGAAAAACUUAGUCUUGUGUAUGGUUUUGUCCAAAUCACAGCUGCUUUGUAGUUUUGAGCAGCAUAGUAGCAGAAUGAAGAUUUCUAGCUUCAGAUCGUCAGAAUUCUUUUCAUCAACCAGUCCCAGAUGAGGUUAACAAUGCCCUGCCUCUCUCAGCUAGCUUCAGGCUCUUACUAAAUUGGUGUGCACUCUGACAAAAUAAAUAAGAAGAACACGAUCCAAAUCUUGUGUUAGUUUCUAUAUGCCUUGAUCUAAUAAAUCAAGCACAAGAAUACUGCAGUUCAAAUGCUGGUUAGUGUUAGCUCCAACAGUUUUUGCAUUUCAGAAUCAUACUAUUUACCAAUGCAAAAAUGAUAAGCAGGAGGACAUGUUUUUCUCAAUUACUGAAGUACACAUAACAAACUAUUUUCAGCACAAAAUACAAUCUUCCAUUUAAACAGUAUAGGGGGCAUUGAAUGACUUGAAGUUUCAUAUAAAGGCUGGAUUUUUUUAUUUUAGCAAGAAGAGUGUCAAACCUGUGUUCAAGAUUGAAGAGAUUGAAUAUCCCUAUGAUUCACCAUUUGUUAACAAAUGGCAGAAAAGUGAAAAUGGCAAAAAAGUGAAGUUUCAUAUAAAGGCUGGAUUUUGUUAUUUUAGCAAGAAGAGUGUCAAACCUAUGUUCAGGAUUGAAGAGAUUGAAUAUCCCUAUGAUUCACCAUUUGUUAACAAAUGGCAGAAAAGUGAAGCCAGCAGGCCCAGCACACACCCAUUCGAAAUUGAAAAAUGCAAAUCAUUGUUCCUUACAUCAAUAUGAUAGAAUGUUUGGAGCUUAAAUCAUUAAAAAUCAAAUGAUUACAAACGGAGGAUUAUUCUAAAAAGUAUUUUAGAACCAAGAAAAUUGCAAACAUAGCUAGCAAGUAUAUAGCUACAAAAAGGUAUUCCACUUCAGGUUAAUAAUGAUUGCAGGCGAGAAGUUUUAGGAUAAAUAGUAAGUUCAUUGCAAAGAACCAAAAAAAAUGGGGAGCCGAAUCUCCAGUCUAGGAAAAUAUACAUGGGAGCAUUAAAAAAUGACAAUAAGAGUUAAUAUCUAAACUAUAACUUACCAAUAAACUCUAAAGAUCCCUGAAAAUGUAGAGCAAGAUAAACUGCAUACCACUAAAACAGAUCUACAAGAUCCACACUUGAUACUAGAUGCAUAUCUAAACCCUCAAAAAUCCACAAUUCUUAUCAAGCCAUGCACGCAGAGGCACAUUUGAACUAUCAUCCACACAAGAAAAUCAAACCUCUUCCUUCAAUUCUCAUCCGAUUUGAAUACAAGUCCGUCCACGUUUGUAUGACCCAACAAAUAUCCAAAACAGAAAGAAAAUGAAGAAGAAAAAGAAGCAUAGACCUUCAACACAAUUGGAUUGAGAAGAUGACGAGAAAUGAUGUACAAAAUCAAUGGUUUCCCCAUCAUGUUUCAAAUAUAACGCAGAGUAAUCACAAAUUGCUUACUCUUUACUAAAAGGAAACUCUAAAACAGUUCCAAGAAAAAAUUGUAGUUCCACUCUUACUUAAAGAUAUGAAUAAAGAAUUGAACUCAAACUAGGUUGCUCCUGAAGGUUUUCAACUAAAACUUUCCUCUGACUCAAAGUCAUGCGAAAGGAUAUUCCCUUCCCCUCUGUGAAACUUCAGUUUAAUGCUUUCAAUUAGAUCUUCAUACUCCAAAGGGUAGCUGUUAUACAGAAUUAGAUCAAUUAAAUAUUUGCCAAUAUCUCACUACUCCCACAUCCAUAUAGGCCCAACAGUGCACAACACUACAACAUUUUACUCACUAUGCUCAUAAACCAUCAACAAAACCUCAAAAUAACAGUAGGUUCUUUUAUACAAAAUGGUUGACCUAGACAUCACUGUCAUGAUUUUUGCCAGUGAACUGCCAAAGGUACCAGAAAUUACCUUAUUCAAUAAUGACAUAUUCAAACAAACCAGUCACAAGGAUAUGAGAUGGAGGAAAUAUGAAACUUGACAGCACUACAACAUUUCACCUACUAUGUUAAAAAAAUCCUGCCUUUUCAUGCCUAUACACUAAUUAUUAAUCUGAUGUCUAUUGAUUCACAUAUAUUUCUCUAUCAAAAUCUAAAUCACCUGAUGAAGGUUUCCUUCUAUCAGUUGCAUAAUUACUAACAUAUCAAUUUUCAUAACAUAACAUAUUCCCAAUUUCUACUUCUUCCUCCCAAUUUCUAUUUUACAACCAAACCUAACAUUCUAUGCCUAUUUUUACUUGUUCAUGCGUACCCAAUCAAUUACCGUCUACUAUUUAUACACAUGGACUCAAAUUAAGAGCCACAUAUAAAUAUUCACAGUCAAUACAUACCUCAAUGUCGUAUUAAGGCUCCCGCAGACAACUGAUUGCUACGAAAUUGCGAGCAAAUAUGACCUCCAAAUAUAACUCUCCACAGAAUUCGCUACAGUUUAUCUCUGCUCACUUCACUCCAGCACCACUCAAAUGGUUGUAUUUUAACCUACAUGACAGCAAAUGACGACAACUUCUAACCUAACGGCGUAACUUAUUCAUCAAUUAAAUCCCCAGUUUGCGCCACAAUACCCGUAAUCUGCUUUCUACCCACUGACCCUCUAAUUCAAUAAUUUUUUUUCCAAACCCCGAGCUAAGAAAACUAACUGACCCACUAAUUCAAGCUUCUAAAAACAGUACGAAUAUCACUGCACACUUCAGCCGUGGGGAGAAAGACGUUCAUUACCAUUUCUUUUUUGUUUUACUGGUACUAUUCUUCUACCCGGUUACCCAUUUUCAAACUGUUAAAUCUCAACCGUCAAGUGUAUUUGCUACCAAUCUAAAGGCUUAUUCGCUAUAGGACAAAAGACUGGGGUACCAAACCCCUGACGCAAAAUAGCUGGACCCUUCCAGCUAAUAAGAAAGAGACACCACAAAAGGAAAAAUCAUGAAUUUAAUAAUAAAUAGGUAAGUUUACAAUAAAAAAUGGUCAGACAUAAAACUUAUCUGAUGAAACAACAGUUUUGGAAGUGUCAGCCAUGUCUGAGAAAAAAAUCGAUGAACAGCACCUGUUAAAAUGCCAUCACAAUUCAACACGCCUCCACGUUCAGUUAUACAAAUGGGAUUCUAAAUUUCAGGAAUUACACUGAAAUGAGAGGCUGCUAUUUGACAUUCAACCAGUCAACUUCCUUCUGUUGUUCUUGGACAGGAAAUGAUGGAAGCGAGUUCAAACAAAUUUCAUUCUUUACAAGUAAGUCCACAACGAUUGAAACUACAGAUGCAUCUGGCAUCACUUUCUUCUCCUUCAUCUUGUGAAGAAGUUCAAUAACUUUUGAUGUCCCAUUAUUUCGAAUGAAACCCACCAUAAGUGUAUUAAAUAUGACAGAAUUGGGUGCCACACCCUUUGCGUCCAUAUCAAGCAAUAAAUCAUAGGCCUUAUCCAUUUGCCCACCAUUACAAAGCCCAUGGAUCAUGAUGUUAUAUGUGACAACAUUUGGCAUUAAGCCUUCGUGUAGCAAUCUCUGAAAAAGUUCCCAUACAACUUCGAGUUGUCCGGAUUUACAUAAUCCAUCAAUGAGGCAGUUGUAGGCUCCAAUAUUAAGUUCGCACUUGAGAUUUUUCAAAGUAUGAAAUAGUUCAACUGCCUCUAGAACAAAACCAUUCUUGCAGAGUCCGUCAACAAGAGUAGCAUAUGUAAUUGAAUCAGGCACGACACCGUUGAGCUGCAUCUCAUCGAAAAGUUUCAAAGCCUUUUCAACCUGACCUAUAUGAAAAAGUCCAAGAAACAAGGCGUUGAAUGUAACCACUGUUGGCUUAAUUCCUUUACGAAACAUUUCUCUGUAAAGACUUAGAGCUUCCACUACUUUAUUAUCCUUGCAGUAACCAUUUAUCAAAAUACCGUAACUGAAACCAUCAUGUUUGCAACCCAUACUCUCCAUAGAAACAAAUAGUUCCUUUGCACAAUUAAUUCUACCCGUCAAGCAAAACCCAUCCAUUAAUGUGCUAUAGGUAAAAGCAUCUUGCUUCGUUCAUCUUCCCAUUCUUGCAAAGGUCAUCUAUGAAUAUGUUCAACUGAAGUGACAAUUGACAAGCUACAUCUAUUUUAGAGAGGUAUGCAAAGAGAAGACUAGAAGACUAGAAAUGUUUUCGCUUAUUCUUUGAAGCAUUACAUGAUCCAAAACGACAAGCAUGGAUCAAAAAACAUGACAACUCACAGAUUCUCAUAUUGGGUUGCUAAUACCUUACCAAUCAAAGGAAGUGACAAGUUGAUUCAACUGCUAAGAACUUAAAUCCAUGCCAUGUGUGAGAGGGAACAAGAGAUUUCGCAAUUGAAGUUCGCUCACAGCAGGUUGAUUCCAGAAGAAACAUAAGCCCUAGGCCCUAGCAGCAUGGAGAAUGAAUCAUUUCAAAGAAGAGACAUUCACUGUAAGUUUACAACAAUUUAUAUAAGGUUUUUUUAAUUAUACAAACUCGCAGCUGCAAAAGGUAAAUAUGCGAAGAGCACAGCAAGGAUAAAAUAUGCUGUAAAUUCAAAGCACAAAUGACAAUCAAGUACCAAUAAAGUGACAAGCUGCAACUACUUCAUUAGCUUCUAAAGUGAUGGAUCAUUAAGAGAGAACAAGACAGAGGGUGUCUUUACAGUUUGUCGUGGCCAUUCAAUGGAAGCACUAUAGUAAAUAACAAGUUGAAAAACAUGAUACAUAUUUAAUUUGGCAUCAACAGCCAUGUACAGUCGGUGAUCACAUAUGCUAGCUUAUCCAGAUCAGGAUUUGUAAUAUGAGUGGUAUUCUCCAGACCACAACAACAACCAGAAUCCAUGAACCAGAGAGAACAUGCUGUCACCAGGUGAAGUCAUUUUGCAACACAAAUGAGAUGCUCCAGAUCAGGAUUUUAGGCUAACACAUGCUGCUGCUACUUGACAUUUGACUCACCAACUUCCCCCUGUCGCUCUUGGACAAGAAAUGACAGAAGUGACUUCAGACUAAUUUCAUUCUUUACUAGUAAGUCCACAACGAUUGAAACUAUAGAUGCAUCAUUACUUUUUUCUCCUUCAUCUUGUGAAGAAGUUCAAUAACUUUUGAUGGCUCAUUGAUUCGGAUAAAACCAUGGAUAAGCAUAUCAAAUGUGAUGACAUCGGGCACCACAGCAUUUUCUUCCAUGUCAAGAAAUAAAUCGUGUGCCUUAUCCAUUUGGCCAUCAUUACAAAGCCCUUGGAUCAUGAUGUUGUAUGUUACAACAUUUGGCACUAGGACUCCACGAGGCAAACUACGAAACAGUUCCAAUGCAAUUUCGAGUCUGCCGGAUUUACAUAAUCCAUCAAUGAGGCAGCUGUAUGCUUGAAUAUCAAGUUCACACUUGAGAAUUCUCAAAGUACGAAAUAAUUCAACUGACUCUACAAUAUAACCAUUCUUGCAAAGCCCGUCGAUAAAGAUAGUAUAUGUACGGGUAUCAGCUGCCGCGCCAGCACGCUGCAUCUCAUCAAACAGUUUUAAAGCAUGCUCAACCUGGUGUAUCUCAAAAAGGCCAAGAAACAAAGUGUUAUAUGUAACAACCGUUGGUUUUAUUCCUUUAGAAACC
rnacentral:lncRNA from 1 species